CUUGACUUCCUGCCGCCGUUCCGUCUGACAACAGCAUACUCACGUUACUCCAGGACUGGAGAGUCACUACGAGCUGUGUGUGGAAGCUAGGCUAACUAGCUGAGCCAACUUAGCGCCCUUGGAAGCGGAAGGAGAUGGAGGGUUUGGUCCAGGCUUGUUGUCCAUUACACAGCGAUGACGGUCGCCAGCUGAUCAGAGCAUCCUGACAGUAACUACAGGCGAGUAGACAAGGUCACACCUACCAACACAUGCAUUAUCUGCUUGGUCACCAGGGUAAAAACACCAAAAUAGUUCACGGACAAAAGACCGGAAGCCAUAACCGUCUUUGGAGGGAUAACACAGUU